UACAGAGGGUGCAAGCGUUAAUCGGAAUUACUGGGCGUAAAGCGCACGCAGGCGGUUGGUUAAGUCAGAUGUGAAAGCCCCGGGCUCAACCUGGGAAUUGCAUUUGAAACUGGCCAACUAGAGUACGUGAGAGGGGGGUAGAAUUCCAAGUGUAGCGGUGAAAUGCGUAGAGAUUUGGAGGAAUACCAGUGGCGAAGGCGGCCCCCUGGCACGAUACUGACGCUCAUGCACGAAAGCGUGGGGAGCAAACAGG
rnacentral:rRNA from 1 species